GACGAACGCUGGCGGCGUGCUUAACACAUGCAAGUCGAACGGAAAGGCCCUGCUUUUGUGGGGUGCUCGAGUGGCGAACGGGUGAGUAACACGUGAGUAACCUGCCCUUGACUUUGGGAUAACUUCAGGAAACUGGGGCUAAUACCGGAUAGGAGCUCCUGCUGCAUGUUGGGGGUUGGAAAGUUUCGGCGGUUGGGGAUGGACUCGCGGCUUAUCAGCUUGUUGGUGGGGUAGUGGCUUACCAAGGCUUUGACGGGUAGCCGGCCUGAGAGGGGUACCGGACACAUGAGGACUGAGAUACGGCCCAGACUCCUACGGGAGGCAGAAGUGGGGAAUAUUGCACAAUGGGCGGAAGCCUGAUGCAGCAACGCUGCGUGCGGGAUGACGGCCUUCGGGUUGUAAACCGCUUUCGACUGUGACGAAGAGUGAGUGACGGUAAUGGGUAAAGAAGCACCGGAUAACUACGUG
rnacentral:rRNA from 1 species